rnacentral:misc_RNA from 1 species
GAUGAAGAACGUAGCGAAAUGCGAUAAGUAAUGUGAAUUGCAGAAUUCAGUGAAUCAUCGAAUCUUUGAACGCACAUUGCGCCCGCUAGUAUUCUGGCGGGCAUGCCUGUCCGAGCGUCAUUUCAACCCUCAAGCCCCCGGGCUUGGUGUUGGGGAUCGGCGAGCCUCCGCGCCCGCCGUCCCCUAAAUCUAGUGGCGGUCUCGCUGUAGCUUCCUCUGCGUAGUAGCACACCUCGCACUGGGAAACAGCUCGGCCACGCCGUUAAACCCCCAACUUCUGAACGUUUGACCUCGGAUCAGGUAGGAAUACCCGCUGAACUUAAGCAUAUCAAUAAGCGGAGGA